UGUACAAGACGUGAAUGGUGUAAUAGAAUGUUGCGUUUACAUCUAAAGUAUCCUUUUAUGUUGCAGUUCAUUAGCAAAUAUCGUGAGAGAAGUUUAGACCUACUACAGAUUUCCACUUGAAAGAUAAAUUAUGCCGCAUCGAUAUCCUUUAAUGUUUCAAUUACAUAAUGAUGGGACCGCUGAAAAUUAUCUUCAAAAUACGGGAAAUCUCACAGACGCAGUAUACACACAUUACCCAGCCUACCUAAUUGAUGCCUACGAAAUGAUCAGGAAAAUUCCAGCUCUGGGAACAAAAUCAUCAAUAGGAUCAUAUCAACGAUGAAUGGAAAGGCCAGAGAAUCCAAAAAAAUAUCAGAAGUAGAAAGAAUAAGUCAAAAUAAGGCAGUUUUUUAGUCAAAAUAUUCCUUGCAACUAAGUAAGUACUUACCUACUUAGGUACAGUUAAUAAAUAACGCACGGAGUGGAGAAGGACUUGCGGGUAUUGGGGGUUCGAAGCUGGAAGGAAGCUGCCUCUGACCGGCCCCGACGGUGAAGUUUCUUUCACCAAUCCCAAAACCCAUCCAGGUUUAUCAUCAUUAUCGUCGACAUCCGUAGUUUGUCGACGAUAAUGAUGAUGACGAUAGAAGAAAUAAUGCAGCCUUCGACUCUCCAUUCAAAUUUAACCUACCUAAGCUUUAUUUUAAGCUAACCGCACAUUAAUAAUAAUUAUCGGACGAACGUCAUGUUGCUAACCCAAUUUUCAAUAAAGCCGAAUUUACAUUAUGCAUUUAGUGGCGCGACAAUAGUUUCGCGACAUUACUUUCAUAACCACUUGCACGUGUAAACGUAUACUUUCGUAAUGUUUGCAUUACUUUCACGAAAUUAAAUUACUUUCGUGCUCAACGCGAUUUUUAGACGAAACUAGUGUCGUGCAACUACCUACCUAAUUGCAUAGGAGGUAUAAAAGUGACGUCAUAAUAUUUGACUAAUUCUUGAGAACUCCAUAUACCUACAGCUAAUGCGCUAUCAGCAUUAGAAUGAAUUUUUAAGUCAACACAAGCGUAGGACUCACUCUUUGUAUGAAGUUUAUACUUCAACAAACCGACAAGUCUCUGGUCUUUGUGCCUAUCCCCAAUUUCUUGUCUCUGUCACUCUCUCAAUGAAUCGCAAUGUUUCUCGUUCCUGUACUUUUCAGAGGAAAUGAGAUGCAACAUGGCGGAAGCUGCGCGAGGGAAGUAAAGGGGACAGGCUGUUGUAAGGGUGGAAGGGUGCUUGUUCAAGUGAAAUGAGUCGAUUUUAAGGGUGAAUUUCAGAGGGGAACAAUCUAUCCAUAUCUAGCCAUACCUAUCUACACAAAAAGGUUUAGAUAAAAGGUAAAUUGAAUCUACGUUUAUCAUGAUACUUAAAAAUUUCCCAAAUCAAAAAGCUCGUAAAUCUUAGCAGUUUUUUUACUGAAAUCUGUUGGCCCAAUACUGAAACGUCUUUUAGUGAUUACCUAAGUGCUUUUUAAAUAAUAAUAAGCGAGUAAAAUAGCAACCUUAACUUUUGAAAUACUUUUUAGUUUUCGCAAUGUAUUGAUAUAGUAGCUUUAGGCAGGUACAGGUAUCUACUUAGUGACUGAAAUAAACUGUCACUCACUAGCGUAAUAAUUAUUUUGUGGCAGGUAAAAUGUAUACCUACUUAUAUAAUAAUUAUGACUAAAUAAUUUAAUCGCGAAGCUAUCAAAAGGUAUUUAAAAUUUAAAAAAAUGUUUGAUUUUGGGCUCCCAUAAAAAAUACAUUUUAAAUAAAAAUUAUAGUUACAAUUCUUAAUAAAGCUUAGACACUUAGGUAUAA